CGCGGCGGGGAGGAGCCGGGCCGGGCCGGGGCGGAUCGGCGCUCGGCGGGCGGGCAGGGCACGGCGCGGCGCGGAUGGCGGGGCCCCGCCGGCGGCCGCUGCAGCGCGGGGCCCCACGGAGGAUGUGAGGCGGCGGCCGCGGAGCCGAGCCCCACCGGGCUCGGAGGGCGGAGAGGGGCUCCCGGGCCGGCCCUGCCCGCGGGAGGGGCCGCGCUGCCCUCCCGACCCCGGCGACAGCGCCCGCCCCACCAUGGGGGACUUCUACGACCCGGAGCACCCCACCCCGGAGUAAGCGCGGCCUGCGGCCUGCUGGGGCCCGCGCCCCGCGGGGAGGCGGUAGGCCGCGCAUCCCCGGCCUUGCGUGAGCGCCGCGGCCGGGCGCCGGCGGGGGGAGGCCGGGCAGGGAGCGCGCGGCGGCGGGGCGGAACGGAGCGGCGGGAGGGGACGGCGGUUGGGACGGGGACGGCGCGGCCUUGGCGGGGUGCGGGCGGCGGGGCCACGCGGCUGGGCCUGGGCCGAGGAGGCCGGGGCGGUGCGGACGUGUCCUGGGCCUCCGGCAGGGCCUUCUGGUUGGUGUGCGGGUGUUACGGGGCCUGAGCUGUGCGCUUUUUGUCCCCUCAGCCCUCACCCCAUUUCCUGACAGCAGGAAGAGGUCACCGAGCCGCGCUGGGAGGAGGAGGGGAGCUGCCUUGUGUCUGUGCAUUCCCCACCGGGGAGCCGCUCCCCACGUCACGGUUUUAUUGCUGCGUCCCACGGAGUGGUUCAGUAGUUGGUAGCAGUGUCUCCUUUCUCCUUUUUCUUUUUUCCUUGUUGGUUCUGAACGAUAUUUUUUGCAUUUUUAGCCUUCCUCCCUGCAGGAUCGGGGCGCUCCGUGCAAAUGCGUUUGCAGCGGUGCUGACAGGCGCUCAGCUCUGGGCUGGAAGGAGGGGAGCACCCGGUACAGACACCCCAUGCUGCUGUGGGAUGGAGGCAGAGCUGGGAAUGGCACUUCGGGCAAGGACAGCAGAGCAAAAAGCAGAGCGAGCGCUGCGAGCCAUGUGCCUGCCCACCUCGAGUGGCUGAGGGUCUCUCUGCACUGAAACGAUGCCCGGCUGAGCCAUGCCCUCAUUAGAACCCCCUAAAAUUAGGGAGAGUUGGAGGAUUUUGUGUUGGUUUGGGGUUGGGUUCGCUUUUCUGGUUCUUGGGGUUCUACCAAGGCACAACUGUGGGUGUGGGGGAAAGAAGCACGGUGGGCACCGUCGUCCUCUUCUGGAGCUGUUUUGGCUGAGUGAUGCCUGCAUUUGAGUCGGCUAAAAUUAGGGAGGGACGGAAGGUUUCAUGUUGGGUUGGGGUUGGAUUUUGCUGGCCGUGGUUCUUCGAGUUCUCCCAAGUCAUGACCAUGCAUUAGGAGAAGAAGCAAGAAGGAGGUGGACACCACGCUUGCGGUUGUUGUGAGCUUUUCUGGUUCUUAGCAGCCCAGGGAGGGGCUGUUGCUUUCAAGUGGCUCUACUAUUAGGCACCGAAGUUUAACUCCAGGUGUUUUGCAUUUCGGACUGCUUUAGAGUGAACCAAAUGCUGUCCCCAGAGGCCGGAGAGACAUGUGAUGUUUGGCAUCAAACCAAGCAUUGGGCUGCAGGUCGGUUCUAGGACACCUUUGCUUCUCACCUAAAGCCAUCCCCGUGCACUGCAGAUGUGGGCUGCCUGGAGAAGCCAGAGCCAUUUGCUUAAAAGCUUCUUUACAGAAGGGCUCCUCGUGGAACAAUCUCACUGCGGAGGUUUUUGGGGGUAAUUAUUCCAGGUUGAGACAUUGAAAGCUAUCAGGAAGCAUUGGGGUGUUUGUACUUUGUGUUGGCUGUAUGAGGUGGGAGCUGUUGGGGUAGGAAGCGGAUGGCUGGCGAGGUGAAGUGUUGAGUGCAUGCUGGUGGUGAGUGAUGGAGUCUUGAUGGUAGCAGAGAGGUUCUGGUGAGCUGACACCGGGGCAUUUGCUUGGCUGAUGGGAUCCAGGUUCUCAUGAGCAGCACUGGCAGCCCCUCCUGGGGUCAGGAAUCAUGGCAUCUUAGAAUGAUUUGGAUUGGAAGGGACCUUAAAGAUCAUCCAACUCCAAUCUCCUGCUGUGCACUGGCUGCCCCCACCAGAUCAGGCUGCCCAGGGCCCCAUCCAGCCUGAUGCUGCACACCUCCAGGGAUGGAAUGGGGCACCACAGCUCUCUGGGCAGCAGUGCCAGGGCCUCUCCCAGUUGUCCUGGUGCCGAAGUUGACCAUGUGGACGCGUGUUGGUUGUGUUGGAGUGGUGUUGGGUGCUGGACUGGCACAGCUGAUCCAGAGAUGGAGAUUGGUCCCAGCAUACCAACAGCAGAAGAAGGCUAAGUGGAGAGUGACGCUUUACAGGGCUGCUGUCGUGUGGGGUGAUGUGAGUUAGCCUGAGUCCUGUGGAUGUCCUCACCUCGUGUUCAGAAGCAGAACGCACCACAACAGAUCCCCUGCUGCGGUGGUGUCGCCCAUCUCUUGCUUUGCUCUCUCCUACAGGUAGGCAUCACCAACGUGAAGUCAACUCCUCUUGGGGUGAUGCUGUCCUCAGCCACCGUGGGCAGACGCUUUGAAGCUGGUGGCACUUGGGGACAGAGGACACUAGUCCAGGUGGUUUGGAAGGGCCAGGGCUUGUUGUUUGCACACCGGAACGGUUUUAUCAGUGUACCUGAAAUGAAUCCAAGCAGUCUGAAAUUUCAGGGUUUUAUUGUGGCUGUUGCUAUGUCGCAGCUGUAGACGCUCAGGCCUUUGGCUGUUUGUGGGCAGAAAGAGCAGUGAGUGGUGAUGCAGUGGCACAGCUGCCCAGGGAGGUGGUGGGGUCACCAUCCCUGGGGGUGUUCCAGAACUGUGGGGAUGUGGCACUGACGGACGUGGUCAGUGGGCACAGUGAGGGCCUGGUGAUCUCAGAGGUCUUUUUCGACCUUAGUGAUUCUGUGAUUCUACUUUGAGACUUGAUUGGUUUGGGUUUUUUUUCGCUUCCCACAGGCAGUAGGGUUCUAUUUUCUGCUUCUCUCUGGGGAGAACAGUCAGUGACCUCCGUACUCUCAGCGCUGGGCAGAUUCUGCUGGCAGGCAAAUGGGGAAAAUGUGGUUAAAUAUCCAAACUUAGGUCUGCGAGCGUGCUGUAAUCCAUCAGGGAGCUGAUAGUGGAGCUGGGAGCUUGGGUUUACACCUGCAUUUCCUGCAUGGAGGAGACUAACGAUGGUCUCACAAGGUGGAAAAUUGAGAGUAGUGAAGGAGGAGCUUGGGUUUUGCUGUCUGGGUGUGGGCCUGUGCUGUCUGUAGGGCUGCCGACAGGGCUGAAGGGACAGCAGGAGUAGAACCAUACAGUCAUACAACACCCCGAGUUGGAAGGGACCUGCAGGAUCACCAGACCCGGCUCGUGGCUCCAUGCAGCCCCACACAACCCCUGUGUCUGAGAGUGGUGUCCCAUUGCUCCCCGAGCUCCAGCAGAUCGUAGAAUCAUAGAAUGGCCUGGGUUGAAAAGGACCACAGCGAUCAUCGAGUUCCAACCCCCUGCUAUGUGCAGGGUCGCCAACCUGUUGAGUCGAUGUUGAGUUGCUGGGUUGAACACAAGCCAGAAGGAACAGCACUGUCUUUAGAGGUUAUAUGACCUAUCUAUCUAUGAUUUCUGAGGACCUUUUGGCUCUUGCCUUGUCUUUGUUCCUCAGGUGUAACUUCAGGGGGCAUUGGAAAAGGAAAACCACCAACAACAAAAGGUACACGCUUUGUGGUCAGUUGAGGCUCCUGUGCUUUCAGAUUCCUAUAAAUAGGAAUAGCAUGUUUUACCUGGAGUUGGCAGCACGCUCGUGCUGGAAAUGCUCUUUCCCUGUGGGUUUCCAAGCUGUCUGUGUGAGGGCUGUGGGUGAGCAGUGCUGCUCAGGGGCAGACCAGGCGUGGGUGAAGCUGCUCUGCGUGGAGCAGUGCGUGUGGAUGGGAUGGAGAGCCACAGCCUUGGGAUGUUCUGCUGCAAGGAUUUGAAACAGCGACAGGGUGACAGCUCAGGGAGGAGACCCAGAGCCCUGGUUUUGGUUUAAGAAGACUUUCAGGUAGUUCGGUUGGCGUAAUUAAUUUCUUAUUUUUAAUUCUUGCUCUGUGCAAUUUAAUAUUUCCCUUGGAGGAGGUCAAAGAAAUCAGGCUUAAAAUGAAGACGUGACGUCGCCGUCGCUGCAAUGUCCCGUGUUGGAGAAUGUUACUGGAGUGCUAAAUAUAUCAUCCUUGUGCAUGUGUUGGACAGAGGCAGGGAUUGCAAACACCGACUUUGGAGUCAUAGAAUGGAAUCAUAGAAGGACUUUGGUUGGAAGGGACCCCGAGGAUCAUCCAUUUCCAACCCCGCUGCUAUGAUUGGUGUCUUUAGUUGUUUGUUUUAUGCUGUCCCAAACUCUCUUUUCAGUUUCAUUGACCAGAAGGGAUUGGUUUCUCUGAAAAGGAGCCUGGAGAAGACAGCAGUUUGGUUCUGUUCUUUCUGUCUGUUUGGUAGGAUGCUUGCUGCAAUGGAUGGUAUGAUUUUAUGACUUGUGAUGGUUCUUUGACCUCUCCAGGAGGUGCCCCAUCCCUGCAGGUGCCUCUCACCCACACAUUUUAUUCCUGUGGGAUCAAUUGCAGAGCUCCAGCUCAUGGAGAAAACUGUCAGAGGGCAGAACCUGAGGAUGAAGUGAAAUAGAAACUGUAAUAAAGGAGAAAUUGAUGGAAAUAAUAAAGUGAGAGGAGGAGGAGGAGAAGGAGGCAGUGGUGAGUCUGGGGAGAGGAGGGAGGAAGAGCUGAGCUCUCCUGCAGCCAUGUCCCUGCAAACCCUGCCGUGUGCAGUGGGUCAGUGCCAUUCCCAGAGCUGCAAGCAGUUGUUUUAUGGUUGUACUAAAGGGUUUUACAGUUCCUAAAGCACCGCGCAACUGCUGCAUGAGUGCCUUCAGGUUUGAAAUGCAUCUGCAGAGGUUUGUGUCCUCCUGAAUUAAUGGAAAGCCAUUCUUCAUGCUUCUUCCACCGCCAGGAGAACUUGGGAGCUACAUGUUUGGAGUUGGCUGGAGCAGCCCACUUUUGCAGCUUAUGUUUCUAUUGCCAGUUUCUGUUCUGAGGAGGAUGCAGGUUAUGUUUAUCUGCUCUGGCUUGUGUUUGUCAUUGCCACAGCAACCAGCUGUGAUGCUGCUGGCAGUGGGAGCCAUUGAAGGGCUGUGGGUUAUGGCCAUAAUUCCUCCUCUGCACUGCACUCAGGUUUAUUCCCAACAGUUUGAUUUACAGCCUUCGGUUCUUCAAGAGUUUGUUUUUCUUUUCUUUUAUUGAAUUGAUGGCCCUUUCUCAGGCAGGAGAGUGGCUUUCAAGGUGUCUUUUGCUGCUGACUUAACCUGCUGGGCAGGUUUUGUCAUAGAAGAUUAAGCUUCAUCUAUAACGGCAUAGGAAAUAAAUAUGAUAAGGAUUCCCAGUUGGAGUGUCCACUUAAGCUUGUCUCAUGUAUGGCAGUAUUUUAGCUAUACCACUGAAACAACAGAUUUUGUGGCUACAAGGCUAGAGAUGUGAUUUCUACCCUUUGGAUCCCAUUUGCAAACAGAAGACAUCGCUCAGGAGAGGCAAUUGCUCUGGAUCUGGAGGAAGAUGUGCAGACAUGGAUGAGAAGAGGCCCAGUGUGUGAUGGGAUGGAGAAUGGUGAAAUGGAGAAAGGAGGGCUGGAGCUGACACGGCUUUAAGUGCAAGGAAAAUGAGCAAUGUGGGACACAUUGGGGUAAGGGCUGACAUUUUUCCUGCAGAACGCCACCACUGUUGUGUGAGGUUUGGGACAUUGCACGCUGGAAAGCACCUCCUCAUCACAUUUGGUUCUGGUUUGAGGUGAGCAGAUGUUCUGCAGGGGGAGGAGGCACGUGCUGAUUCUGCUUCAGGAUGUAGGGGAGCAAUAAGAUGAUGUGUUUCCACUCUAAAAAUCGCAGGUGGCGUUUUUCUGCCUGCGCCUGCCUGUUGGCAGCACUGAUGUUUCCAUCUGAUGAAGUUACACCGGGCAGGUUUGGUGCUAGGGGACCUGGCAGCACCAUCAGCAGAGCCACGGCACAAUCAUUCUGCAGCAGACACCCAAAAGAGGCUGAAUUGCACCCAGAGUGUGCCUGCCGUGGCAGGAUGGAUUGCAGCGACGUGCAGUUCAGAUGUAGGUACUUCAGUUGCUGAUGUGUGAGAUGAGGCUUGGCCAAACUUAGCAUGUGAUGUCUCAUUUGUGCUGUGCAGUUGAGCUUUCUCCUUUCAGGCACCUCAGAGCUUUACCACCAGCUGGUCUGGGGAGUGGGACUUGCUGCAGGCUUUUGCAAGCACAGCCUGUGUGCCGCCAGAGCUAGAUAUUUACCUGUGAGAUGUUUUUGGUGACAAAGAGCCUAUUGCGCCAGGGUCUGCUUGCCACAUGGUGCUCGUGGCUGUAGGAUGCCAUGCUGGAACCCUCAGUUGGGGAUGGGAUGGCUUAGGUAGGGACGUGAUGACUUCAGGUGGGGAUGGAUGUACUCACCCUGCUCAGCUCCGUGCAGGUGAACUGCAUGCAUGGGAAGCAGCAUCUGAAUGCCCGCAAAUACCUGCUUGAGGUCUGUGAGCCCUCCAGUGGGGGAAAGAGGAAGAGGAGGAGGAGGAGCAGGGGUAGAAGCCCUGCUGGUGGGGCUGCCCCAGGAGCCGGCCUUCUAGGGGAGGGGCUGCCUUUCCUUUUUGUUCCCCCCCCUCUUUUAGCACACAGCCCUCAUUGCUCAGGUGCAGUGGAGCUGCUCGGUCAGUGCUGAGCCCUGCACGGUGCCCACGCUGCUGACUCCGUGAUGCCUGCCUACAGCGAAGCCCGUGGCAGUGAGUGUAAGUGUGCACAGAAGUUUGAAGUUGAUUUAUUUCUUCAUUCGGUGUGCUUUCAGGUUCCUCACCCUCCUCUGCUGCGACAGGGCACGCUAGGGAAGCUGUGGGGUUGAGUUUUGUGCUGAUGGUGCUCAGGAGCGAGAUGUAGUGACUUUAUUUAAGCAGGAUUUACACACUGCUGUUUAUUUCUUGCUAUCUAGCAUCUGUUAACUCAGUUAAAGCACUUCAUUUCAGCAUGUGCUUAGCCAGCCUUUCUGUCCUGCCCAGUGCAUGGCUCUCACUGGUUUCUCCUGUUUUGUGAAUGAAAUCAGAGGGCACUUCUAUCAGCUUGCACUGGGGUGUUGUGUUUGCUGCUUCUGUGGAUGGGGUGCAGCUUUGGAUCUCAGGGCUGUUACCCUCUGGCAUGAGGGAGUGUUGGUGAGAGGUGCAGCAGGAGCUCAGCUUCUGUGCUGGGGGAAGGAAUGUGCUCCUGGUUGUGCCAGGGCAGUGAAUCUGCCCGAGGGCUGGCAGAGACUGGCUGGGUGCUGGGGGGUGUGGGUGUAGGAGAGAUGGGAUGGGGGCACAGGAAACUGUUGGAUCCGCUCUGGAUGGACAGACAACCUGCUUGGAGGACAGACACAUCCUGCUUGGAGGCAGCCCUGGAUGGACAGACAGUCGCCAUGCUUGGAGGCAGCCAUGGACGCACAGGCACCAUGCUUGGUGGACAGACAGGCACUGUGCUUGGAGGACAGACUCACUGCCUGGGGACACUCACUUUUUCAGAGUUAAUUGCAUCACUUUGGGAAAACACAGCUGAAGAGCACUCUGCAUGCUGAAAGCAUUCCCUUUUAUUGCAGCGUGUACUACCCGCUAACGUUCCAAGAAGGUGAUUUUGCUUCAGGGAUUAUCCGACAGAGAUCCCAGUUAGUUCUGCUGAUGAGGACGCCAACUAAGCCCUGCUAACAAAUCCCUCCUUCCCUGCUCGGGGAGCAGGAGGCUUCUUAAGGACAGGUGCUCCCACAUACUGCACAGAUGCCUCAUUUUAGGGUGAAGCUGUGGGCUUGUGCCCUCUCUUUGUGGCCGAGAGCAAAGCUUGCCCCUCAACGCCUUCUCCCAUUGCCUCCCCACCCUUUUGUUACCAUCCACGCAGUGAUGAACCCCUUCCUGCACCACUGCUGUUGGUGAUCCUUCACACUGCUACCAUGGGAACAGCAUCUCCUGUGACGAUUGCUGUCACGGUGUAAAACUUUAACACUCGAUUUCUUUAGGUGUGCCCUGGGCUGAAUGCAGCGGGCAGAGAUGGGGCUGCGAGCUCAGCAGCUCCAGGGGGGAUUGUGGGGCAGAAGCAGGGACCUGGGUGCUUUUAUUGGAGCAGAAAGCUGGAGAACGCUGGGAAUUGUUUUCUUCUCUGCUGGAUCUUAUUCCUAAAGGAAAAGUUCAUAGACUCCCUAAAGUGCUGGCAUUGCUAACGCACAGGGGAUGUUCAGGUAGGAUAUUAGGGACAAUUUCUUCUCUGAAAGAGUACUGAUGCAUUGCUACAGGCUGCCUAUGGGGGUGGUGGAGUCACCAUCCCUGGAAGAGCCGUGGAGAUGUGGCACUGAGGGAUGUGGUCAGUGGGCAUGCUGGGAGUGGGAUGGGUUGGACUUGGGGGUCUCAGAGGUGUCUUUUCCCACCUUCAUGAUUCCAUCAUACUGUGAGUGGGCGCCUCCUGGACCUGCUCCUCUCUGGGUGACGUGGGGGAACUUCCUUCAUCUGCGUCACGUCUUUAUUUUAUGGCUUUCUUGUGUGCCUGGCGUGGGGAAUUCUCAAUGGUUUUUCAUAUUUCAGGACAGGAAAAGUGGUUCGUGCCCCUGACCCCAUGCAGCAGCAUCCAAACAGAAUAAAAACCAGUACAAAACCGCAGUCACAGCAUCGUGGAAGCAGUAAGAGCAGGGCUGGGGAGGCAGGGAUGUGAGCAGGGGACAGGUCCAUGCCUACAGCUGCACUGACCUUAUUUUCUGCACAGAUUGGCUUGGUUUCAAGCUUCUGUUUAAAUAAAAGGUUUGAUUUCUUUUCCCCCCUUCCCUCCUGGAUGUGCUUUAGCCUUUCUUCCAAGAGGUUUAUUUGGGGGAUGGAGCUGGCUGUUAACUCCCUGCUUUUCUCCAGUCAGACCUUACCCAGUGGUGUGGUAUUAAUGGCAGUAGGGACACGUGGGAACGAAAAGCGCAGUGCUACAAAAGAGCUGGCAGUAAUUGAGCACCAUAUUUGUUUCAGCUUAAUGCAGAGACUGCUCCUAAUUUGUCCUAGUUUUUAAUCCCUAGCUGGAUGUAUUAGAGGUUAAUAAACCAAGUGUGUGCUGACGCUUCAGACCUAUAAGGUUUUAUGGAACCAUUUGGGUUCAGCUGUGCCAGCAGCAGUGUUGUGUCCCGUGCAGAGCUGUAACCGUGGUUUGGCGUGGAGAUUUCCUCUUUGGCAUUACCAUCCUUCUGGAAUGAGGAGUUUUCCAGCCAAAUUCUGGCCUUAUUGUGCUGCCUGCUCUCUUACCAUACCUGGUGAACAAAGAUCUGGAGGCUACAAUGGGCUUUUGCAUUUUGGGUUUUGCAUUUUGGGGCUGCAAUUUAGAGGCUGCAUUUCCUCCUGCUGAGUGCCCAGGUCGGGGAUUUGGGUUUUGCAUUUUAUUUCCCUAAGAAAAGAAAGUAAUUGUCAACCAGGUAGGCUUUGAGAUGGCCCAGUGCUAACGCUUGCAAAUGGGCAGCCUGGAGCUAGGGGUGCUGAGAGCACAGGGGGAGGCUUUUUGCUCUUCCAGGACGGUUCGCCCUGCAGAUGUUUAGAUAAAAAGAGCUUUAGACUGCCUAGUUUCUGUCUUAAAAAAUAAAAGGGAGAAAAAAGAAGAAAAAAAAAAAAGGAAAAAAAGGGGCAUGUGGGAGGUGAGGAAAAGUUUUGUCUUAACCCAGUGUUUGUCAUGCAGAGUUCCUAACCCUGAGGGCAUUUAAUUUGUUUGCUUUUGUAGCAUAGGAGGUCCUGCUGGGGGUCACACCAUGAGGAGAGCAGUCUCAUUCAUAAAAGCCCAUUCAGGCACCUCAGAGAUGCUGAACCUCAAAAGAAGAAUACACCUUUAUUUCUUAUUACUGUACCCAGGACAAACCAGAGAGGUUGGACCAAAGGUCUUUUCCAACCUUAAUGAUUCUGGGAGUGGGCACAAUGGUGAUGGGUUCACGGUUGGGCUUGGUGAUCUUUGUGGUCUUUUCCAACUUUCAUGAUUCUAUGAUACCAUGAUAAACCCUUGCAUAUACCUUUAUCUUCUAUUCUCAUGCCCAGGAACAAGGUGCAGACCCUCGUGUGUGAUGUGAGGAUUUGGGUUUUGCUUGUGUUGUCCGUUUGGGGUGUGUGCAAACCCAUCGCUUAGCGGUGAUCAAUCAGGUGUAGCUCAGUUGCUCUUUGAAACUGCACUUCGAUUGGUUCCUGAGCAAGGAGUGACGUGUUGCCUAAUUUUGGAAGUCUAUUUAUGUGUUUGAUCCGGGGCAAAGGAAAAGGCAGGACGUGGAAACGUGACCCACAGCCUGCAGCAAGGGAGCGGUGCCUGAAAUACUGCCCAGUGUUUGCACAAAACCCACCGCCGGUAACGUAAUGCCUGCCCCACUCCUACGUGCUCUGUUGACUUCUGAAACAAGCAGCUCCAUUCACACAGCACCUCGUUCUGCUUUGCCCUUCCUCUGGCUGUCUGCUGUCAUCAGGUGGGCUUCUCUCUGGCCAAAUUCAGGCCUUAAGGCAACAGCCUGCAGCCCUACUGCGUCCCAAUGCAUCCCAGCGCUGUGCUCCCUCCCUGCUGUCCCAAAGCAGGAGUUGAUGGGAAGGGAAGAGGCUGGACAGAGAGCUUCCUUCCCUCUGCAACACUGCUGCCUCUUCUGCAGUACCGUCACAAGACAGGAAGAAAUUUCUGCUUGAAGUAAAAGCUCUGUGUCCUUGCCAGUGUCUUAAUGCUGGUUUUGUGCAGCUUUCCAGCAAGAGGAGCAAAAAUGGGUUGUUAAUUCCUUUACCUUUGUCAUAGAAUCGUAGAAUGGCUUUGGUUGGAAGGGACCUCUGAGAUUAUCGAGUCCCAGCCCUCUUGCCCUAGACGGUGUUGCCAGUCACUAGAUCACACACUAGGUCAGGCUGCCAGGGCCCCAUCCAGCCUGGCCUUCAGCACUUCCAGAGACGGGGCAUCCACAUCUUCUCUGGGAUAGCAAAUACUAAGCUCUGUUACCCAUCUCCCAGCAUAUACCUACUUAAUAUCUGUGGUUUUAAGUGCAAAGAGUCAUUUCUGGUUGCUAUCCUGAGCUGUGUCACAGUGCACUUGGUUACUGAUGCAUUGGCAGUUUUCAUGUUGGAUCUUGGCUGUGCUCGACCUCAGUGCUGUCCUCACCCCUUCAACACUCACAUGUAGCUCAGAAUAUAUGAACAACAACGGUGUCCUGGAAGUCUUGAUUGUAAAAUCAUAGAAUAGCUUAGGUUGGAAGGGAACUUGGAAGGAGUUGGAUCCUCUUUUCCCGUGAUCUUAAAAAUGAAGCCUUUGGGGCACUAAUUCACAUCAGUGUGCUGUUCUGGAAAAAGUUCUGCCUUCUGCAUUGCUCUGUGUUGAGUUCACAGUGUUCACAACCCCACUAAAUCAUGGAUGUGCCCUUUGUGUUUCCCACAGCUCGUUUAAACUGACAGUUCAUGUUUCCUCAAUAAAAAGCCAAGUUGCUGCUGCUGUAAGAAUAAUUUAUUGCCUAUUAAUAAGCUUUAUCAGUUGCACAUGAGCUUGGUAGUAUAUUGCUGCUGGUGAUAGGUCUUCGAGGAGGUUGCUCCUAAUUCUGUGUUGAUGAUUGCUGAAAUAGGAACAUACCUGGUUGCUGCCGUGCCGUCGUUGCGUAGGGUCCCUGCAGGGCUGCACUAACCCAGAGCUCUGCUUUGUUUUCCAGAAAUUGGUUCUUGGAGUAGCUGAUGCCUGAGGGCCAAUCUGUGAGCCUUUCUGUGCAAUAACUUUGACCAUGUCAGCUCAGCAAUACCGAAUUAUGAGUCAGAAGCUCAUUAAAUUUAGCAAAGGUCCUGUUGAAAACUUCCUCUGUAUUUGUAGGAUAUAGAGGGAAAAGGCUGCCUGUGUGCAAAUAGUGAGGUUACAGUGUGCUUUUGAGGAGGAAAUACCAAAGUCAGAUGAGCUUUUGUUACUAAGCCCAAUCGGUAACCACUGAGCAGUGGGCAUGAAACUUUUGUAUUGUUUUGUGUAGUUUCCUAAAGGAAAAAUGUCACCAAUGCUCUCCAAGGCAGUGCCAAGCACCAUCUCAGUGGGGAGAGGCUGAAUGCCAAGGAGCUGUAUUUGGGAAUUCUGAGCAGUGUGGUACAUGUUAGCUGGGGCUGGUGGGCCGAGCAGUACAGCAAUAAGGUGUUCAUUGGGCUGCUUGUAAAAGCGUUGGUGAACUUAGAAAGAUGAUGAGAGAGGAGGUGCUUUCACUAUUUCCCAUCUCCUCAGGAAAACACUAAACUACACCUCGUUUUCCAGGCUGAUAUCUGCGUUAUCUUUGCAACAUCACCCCUGUUGAAACAACUCCUGGCUGCCAUGCCAGCCAGCAGCAUCGCGCUUGCCGUUUGCUCUCAGAGGGUUUGCAGAAGUGCCAGCACCCAGGGCUCUGAGCUUCCCACCAGUGCUGUGGCCCUGUGCAGUGGGUGACACCAGGACGAGUGACACCGGUGGCACAGGGUUACCUGUGCAGCUCUUCCUGCUUGUAGGUGUGUUUUUGUUUCUGCCUGACGUUAACGCCUUCUUUCUGUUUUCUUUUGCAUGUUUUCUCGGCUGGGUUGCAAUAGAGAAGAAGAAAAUGAGGUGAGUGAAAUUCAUUCCUUUUCCUCUUUUGCUCCUGAGAUGUGUGUAGUUACCUUCACCAAUGGGUUUUGUCUGGACCCAAGUCUUGGGAAGCUUCCUUGAGCAGCAGCACGAGGCAUCUUCACAUACAAAUCCAGUAUUUUCCUGGGGUGUCCCUGGGGCAGUGAUGAAGGAGCAUGCCUGGCACUGCUGCUGCCACCUGCACACAGCCGAUGAAGUGUAGGGACAUUCUGCUUCCUGUGUUGUGACAAAGUUAAUCUUUAAGGAUUUCAUCUGUGGAAAAAAUGAGUUUCACUGUGUGUGGCCCAAUUAAUGUUAGGGGAAAGGAGCAAACCUGCAGGGAUAGGAACACCUGAUAACACCCCAGUGAGUGACUGGCAGAAUGGUGCUGCUAAUUUCUGAUGCGUUAGGUCCAUUUCUGCUCUGAUUGAACGUACUGUGUGUGCUGGCACGGUGAUACGAAAGCUGCAGGAGCACUCAUUCAUCUCUGCUGAAGGCUCAGAGUGAGCAUCUGUUGCCUACCCCGGGCUGCACAGCACCCACAGCAGCGUUCUGUGGAGUGUUUGCUGCCUGUAAAACACUAAAGCAAGGAGAACUUUUCUACUAUUUCGCCAGUAAUUGCUCCCUGUUACCUCUCAAAAGCUACCUGUGGGAUAUUUUUUAAAUUUAUGGAAGUCGUGUUUUUUCAACUUGGUGUUAUUUAAGAAGAAAUCCCUGGAAGGCUGAGCAUGAGAUUGAAACAUUUGUUCUGAAAGGCAUCGUCCCUGCUGAAUAGAUAUGAAAAGCAGAGGAAUUGAAGUUUAGCAGCUCUUUCAUCCCCUCCAGCCUUUGUUUUGUGUACAGGUGGUUGUAUCCAAACACCAUUAUUCAUCUGUAAGCUCCGAUUUCUGCUCUGCUGCACUGAAAGUUAGGAAAUUUUUAAUCAAAACACUGACAUAUUUUCAUAACUGUGGGUGAUUUUUGCACACAAAAUAGUUUCACAAAAGUUUUAAUAAGAAAACUCUAUAGAGUUCUGAUGUACUGGCUGGGGUAGAAAGGUUUGAUUUUUCUGGUUGUGUAGGGGUAAUAAGCAACCCAACACGCUCACAAAAUGACAUUGCCUCAUUUCUUGGGAGCCUGUGCCCAACAUCUUAUGGGAGGCUGGCCUCUAGCAUUGAACGUCUCGAAGCUCCUGCCACAUGGACCUAACACGUGGUUUUGUCCUUUGUGCUCCAGUGAAUUUGUUCCUAUACAUUUAUGUGUUAUGCUGUUGUUAGAUCAAAAAAAUGGGUCUCUUAGGAAAACAGAGUGUAUUUUCAGCAACCUUUCUAUUGAGUAUGGGACAGCGUUGGAGAAGAGAUGGACAAAUGUGUGGACAUGUCCUGUCCUCAGGGUCUCUAUUGGGAUGCCCUUUCAGCAAUGGCAGUCACUUGAAAACCUCCACAAAGUGGCACCCAUUUUAAAGGAGUCAGAGUUUUGGGAAAAAAAAAAAAAAAAGUGGAAAUUGCAUGGGGUGGGGUUUCUAUUCCGCCAACAUCUUACUUAAUAAUUUACCACGGUGCCUUUAGCUUUAGCAACUCUGCAUUGUUUUACAUGAGUUAAACGAUAACAAAGUCCAUAAUACUUCAGAGUGGGUGCAGGAAACCACCGCUGCAGCCAAAGAUGUGUUCAUGCAAUAGUUAUGGAGUAGAACCUUCCCGUAUACAGUGUUCAGACUGCUAGAAUUGUCCUCAUUGAGUUAUGCUUCUUGCACAAAGUGUGAUUACAUUAAUGCAGUCUGGAUUUAUGGGGAUAAGGAGUAUUGACAGAUAUACCCUUUCAACACAAUGGGACAACAUUCAUCAUUGGGGAUUGUGCUAUCGUUACGCUGCGGUAGAUAGUGGUAGAGUCUCUGCAGAGACAAGCCCGGAGCUUAAAAAACAAUUGGACACAUGCCAAGGCAAAUAAACACAGUGUGCUUUUUGCUCUGAAAGCUGCUAAUCUCGGGCUUUGAUAAAUGCAUUCUGGAAGGGAAGAAGUUCCCACGUUGAAAAGAGCUUUGUUGCUCUAGGCUUGAGCCAUGCCCGAAGUGGCAUCUCAGUU
rnacentral:lncRNA from 1 species